UGAGCGGCGGCGGCGGCGGUGGUGGUGGCGGCGGUGGAGCGGAGCCAUGAGGCCGCAGCAGGCGCCCGUGUCGGGCAAAGUGUUCAUCCAGCGGGAUUACAGCGGCGGGACCCGCUGCCAGUUCCAGAGCAAGUUCCCGGCCGAGCUGGAGAACAGGAUUGAUAGACAGCAGUUUGAAGAGACUGUCCGGACGCUGAACAACCUCUAUGCAGAAGCUGAAAAACUUGGGGGCCAAUCCUACCUUGAAGGAUGUCUCGCCUGCCUGACUGCCUACACCAUCUUCUUGUGCAUGGAAACGCACUACGAAAAGGUUCUAAAGAAAAUUGCCAAGUUCAUUCAGGAACAGAAUGAGAAGAUCUAUGCUCCUCAGGGCCUCCUUCUGACAGACCCCAUCGAAAGAGGACUAAGAGUUGUAUCCUUCUGGGGUGGCUUCCACUGCCUCCUGGUUUGUCCGUCUACGAUGUGCUUGAUCUCAGUGUGGCACCCUCUGGUCAUGCUUAUCUGUGGCACGGCAGAAUAGAUUGAAAUUACCAUUUAUGAAGACAGAGGUAUGACCAGCGGAAGAUAAAACUGUGGAGUGUCAGCAGAUAGCUCAACAGUGGACUUGCUGUAUCAAAGUUCCCCUACCUCCUACUUUAGAGCAUCAUUCCUUUCUUUGCUGCCAGAUCCACAGUGCCAUCUACUACAAGGACUAACUUCCUCAAACUGCUCCACGUGAGGUGACCCAGCUGGUCAGCAUCCAUUUUGUGGCCAACUUUUAAGCAAUGAGACAAUGAGAUCACUUUUUAGGUGUGUUUUGGUUUUAAGGGGGGCAGGUGUCCCCCAGAAAAAAAGCAGAAGUGGUAAAGCUAUUUCUGAAAGAAAUGGGGCACUUUGCCCAGCAGCAGGCUAGUUUUAGUCACGUACGCGCAGUGCUGUUCCUCCCUAGUUCUUAAACCCUUCUGCCCAUCAGAAGCUCUGGAAAGCUGCAAGCUGGAGUUGGGAAUUUCCUUCCCUCCAGGUCAGUGUUGGAGUGAGGGGACGCACAGUGCCCCUGCCUGGCGAGAAGGGACUCAAGGCAACGAGCGUUUAAUGCUUCCCGUGCUGAUUCUCAUGGAAAACCCGAAGGCAAAGUGUUCCUUGUUUUCAGUGUUUCAGUUGUCCCUAGGAAGGGGAGGAAUAGCUGGACUUUGAAUACUGGUGUUUUUUUUACUACUGUAUCCGUGCUGUUAUUGCAUCUGUCAGUGCUCGCCAGAAGAGGGGGUCUAUUCAUUCAGAAGCCAGUAAGUACAUUAAAAUGGAUGCUGAACCAAUAAACAUAAUGACACCUACCCUUCCUCCGAUUAAUAUGUGAAGUGUAAAACUGUUUCUUUAUGGAUUUAUUAUCUAUAAUUUAUAAGGAAAACACUGAUUUCACAAACUGUUAGAUAUCGUGUAAGAUGGUUUCUUAAUCCUGUCUGCUGGCACACUCUUGGCAAGUAGAACUGUGCAUUAGUAUCCCCCCUGCAUCGACAUUCCUCAGCAGUACCUGCCAAAGUAAAGUUCCUACAAACCAAGCUGGCUUAAUAUCGUAUCCUUUUCCCUUAUCAAAGCAAGGAUGUCCAGGGUUUGAAUGUCACUGUCCAGCUGUAGAAGGAAUCCAAGGAGCUAGGAAAGCAGCAUGGGAGCGCUCUGGCUGUCGGUGGCACUGCAGGUGCUAAUUCUGGAUCUGAAAUUCCAGCUUCUUACUCAGCCACUGAUUAUUUUUUUGUUUCUUUUGAUAUUUAAUAUUUUAAUUGUAUAAAACUUGUUUUUUUUCUAAACUGUAACAGUGUUUGCCUUUCACAUCUGUUGCGAUAUUGGCAGAAGGACUAAUGGAUUAGUAAAUCUUUUCUUAAACC